CCUACGGGAGGCAGCAGGGAGGGAUAUUGGGCAAUGGGGGAAACCCUGAUGCAGCGACGCCGCGUGAGUGAAGAAGUAUUUCGGUAUGUAAAGCUCUAUCAGCAGGAACGAGACAAGACGGUACCUGACUAAGAAGCCCCGGCUAACUACGUGCCAGCAGCCGCGGUAAAACGAAGGGGGCAAGCGUUAUCCGGAAUCACAGGGUGUAAAGGGAGGGUAGACGGCUGAGCAAGCCUGAAGUGAAAGGCAGGGGCCCAACCCCUGGACUGCUUUGGGAACUGUGCGGCUGGAGUGCAGGAGAGGUGAGUGGAAUUCCUAGUGUAGCGGUGAAAUGCGUAGAUAUUAGGAGGAACACCAGUGGCGAAGGCGGCUUACUGGACUGUAACUGACGUUGAGGCUCGAAAGCGUGGGGAGCAAACAGGAUUAGAUACCCCAGUAGUC
rnacentral:rRNA from 1 species